rnacentral:rRNA from 1 species
AUUGAACGCUGGCGGCAGGCCUAACACAUGCAAGUCGAGCGGAGCGACGGACGGGUGAGUAAUGCUUGGGAAUCUGCCUAUUCGUGGGGGACAACAUCUCGAAAGGGAUGCUAAUACCGCAUCCUAAUAGAUGCGCCUACGUCGGAUUAGCGAGUUGGUGGGGUAAAGGCCUACCAAGGCGACGAACUGUAGCGGGGCUGAGAGGAUGAUUCGCCAAACUGGGACUGAGACACGGCCCAGACUCCUAAGGGAGGCAGCAGUGGGGAAUAUUGGACAAUGGGGGGAACCCGGAUCCAGCCAUGCCGCGUGUGUGAAGAAGGCCUUAUGGUUGUAAAGCACUUUAAGCGAGGAGGCGUUACUCGCAGAAUAAGCACCGGCUAACUCUGUGCCAGCAGCCGCGGUAAUAC